UACAGAGGUGGCAAGCGUUGUUCGGAAUUACUGGGCGUAAAGGGCGCGUAGGCGGUCUUUUAAGUCUUGUGUGAAAUCCCUCGGCUCAACUGAGGAACUGCACGGGAUACUGGAAGACUUGAGUUCGGGAGAGGGAAGCGGAAUUCCGGGUGUAGCGGUGAAAUGCGUAGAUAUCCGGAGGAACACCGGUGGCGAAGGCGGCUUCCUGGACUGGUCCUGACGCUCAGGAGCGAAAGCGUGGGGAGC
rnacentral:rRNA from 1 species